AGACCCGAAACCCGGUGAUCUAGCCAUGGGCAGGUUGAAGGUUGGGUAACACUAACUGGAGGACCGAACCGACUAAUGUUGAAAAAUUAGCGGAUGACCUGUGGCUGGGGGUGAAAGGCCAAUCAAACCGGGAGAUAGCUGGUUCUCCCCGAAAGCUAUUUAGGUAGCGCCUCGUGAAUUCAUCUCCGGGGGUAGAGCACUGUUUCGGCUAGGGGGCCAUCCCGGCUUACCAACCCGAUGCAAACUGCGAAUACCGGAGAAUGUUAUCACGGGAGACACACGGCGGGUGCUAACGUCCGUCGUGAAGAGGGAAACAACCCAGACCGCCAGCUAAGGUCCCAAAGUCAUGGUUAAGUGGGAAACGAUGUGGGAAGGCCCAGACAGCCAGGAUGUUGGCUUAGAAGCAGCCAUCAUUUAAAGAAAGCGUAAUAGCUCACUGGUCGAGUCGGCCUGCGCGGAAGAUGUAACGGGGCUAAACCAUGCACCGAAGCUGCGGCAGCGACACUCAGGUGUUGUUGGGUAGGGGAGCGUUCUGUAAGCCUGUGAAGGUGGCCUGUGAGGGUUGCUGGAGGUAUCAGAAGUGCGAAUGCUGACAUAAGUAACGAUAAAGCGGGUGAAAAGCCCGCUCGCCGGAAGACCAAGG
rnacentral:rRNA from 2 species